rnacentral:rRNA from 1 species
GAUGAACGUUAGCGGCAGGCCUAAUACAUGCAAGUCAAGGGGAUAGCAAUAUCACCGGCGGACGGGUGCGUAACGCGUACACAACGUGCCCAAGGGCGGAGGAAAGCGGCGGGAAACUGCCGGUAAUACUCCAUGGUGUUGUUGAGUGGCAUCACUUAACAACUAAAGUACAAGCGCCCUUGGAUCGGUGUGCGUUCGAUUAGCUAGUUGGCGGGGUAACGGCCCACCAAGGCUUCGAUCGAUAGGGGGUGUGAGAGCAUGACCCCCCACACGGGUACUGAGACACGGACCCGACUCCUACGGGAGGCAGCAGUAAGGAAUAUUGGACAAUGGGCGGAAGCCUGAUCCAGCCAUGCCGCGUGAAGGACGAAGGCGCUCAGCGUUGUAAACUUCUUUUGGAUGGGAACAAUAACUCCGACUUGUCGGAACUUGAGGGUACCAUCAGAAUAAGCACCGGCUAACUCCGUGCCAGCAGACGCGGUAAUGUAGUCGUGU